CUUUGUUGCCAGCGGUUAGGCCGGGAACUCAAAGGAGACUGCCAGUGAUAAACUGGAGGAAGGUGGGGAUGACGUCAAGUCAUCAUGGCCCUUACGACCAGGGCUACACACGUGCUACAAUGGCGCAUACAAAGAGAAGCGACCUCGCGAGAGCAAGCGGACCUCAUAAAGUGCGUCGUAGUCCGGAUUGGAGUCUGCAACUCGACUCCAUGAAGUCGGAAUCGCUAGUAAUCGUGGAUCAGAAUGCCACGGUGAAUACGUUCCCGGGCCUUGUACACACCGCCCGUCACACCAUGGGAGUGGGUUGCAAAAGAAGUAGGUAGCUUAACCUUCGGGAGGGCGCUUACCACUUUGUGAUUCAUGACUGGGGUGAAGUCGUAACAAGGUAACCGUAGGGGAACCUGCGGUUGGAUCACCUCCUUACCUGAAAGAA
rnacentral:rRNA from 1 species